AUGCUGCUCUGUGCACUUGUAAUAUUUUCAGUACUUGCAGGAGACUCUCUUGGUGAUCUAAUAACAUCUCAUGGUUCUGAAAAACAAGCUCAAGAUGGUAACAGUGUUACUCUCUCCUGCAACUACACUGGUGUUGUUUAUAAUCUACUGUGGUAUCGUCAGUAUCAAAGAUCCAAACCAGAACUCCUUCUCUCCAUGACUGAAUCUGGAGAUCCAGUUAAAGAAGAUCCAUCAGCCCACUGGUUAUCUGCUAAAGUUGACAAACACAGAAAGCUCAUGGAACUGGAAAUCAGCCCGGCUAAAGUAUCAGACUCCGCACAGUAUUACUGUGCCCUGCAGCCCACAGUGACAGGAAACUCUUUUCCUCUGUACAUAAUCUUUCUGUAUAUAAGUCAUGCUUUUAAUUGA